rnacentral:lncRNA from 1 species
ACCUAUCCCCUUGAACUUCUUUGCAAGACUUGAAAGACAAAGUGGCAGAAGAACACUUUCGGACUUCCAAAUUAAAAGUUGUCUACGAAGUUGGUGUCUGAGCUGCGAGAUGGUGGGUUAGUGAUCCUGGGAAUGGGAAAAAAAAGUUCAGGAUGCGGCUGCCUUCUCUUCUGAGUCUACUGAAAGUGCUCUCCAAGCAAUGCGGAAAUUCUCUCUGGUGUCUGGUUGGCUGGAUAUAUGGCUGGUUUUGCCACUCCCUCUCCAUCAUGCUGGGAAGCAUUUUGGCUGCAAAAGAAUCAGUAAUAACCGCAGUGCGCUGAGCCAAGUGAGGGAUUCAGAAGUCAUCGCUCUGGCAGGCACCGGCCUGUGCGCUUGUCCUCUGGCGAGGAGAGAAACUUUCCGUUGCGCUGCCCCUCCAGCCUCCUCAAGAGCAAGGCUGGGGAGGGCUUCCAGAGGCCAGCUCAUCAGCCCUGGCGCUGAAUCAGCCCAAGAAUUUUUAACUACAGGAGAAAAAUGGAUCACACUGGAGGACUUUCUCCUUGAAGAGAACUUCACCCUGGCCUAAUCAGAGAUGCAAAUUUCUGAGCACCCCAUAAGAGAAGAGAAGUUUCAGUAUCCCGGAUUUCCAGAUGAGAUGAGUUACUAGGAGUCUUAGACCAAAUCCACCAGGAUAUUGAAGUGCCUCAAAACUUUUGAGAUCCUGGGCCCAAAUGACUCUCUAGAAGUCACAACUAAGGACAGGAAGCAAGGACAGGAAUCCAGGGCUUCUGGGCCCCACUAUAACAAGGUUCCUCACCAUAAGUAGCUCUUUAUUCACAUCUGUUGUUUGCUGAUUGCUUUGCAAUGUCAUGCUUUGAUUAUUAUGUUGUACAGCCACUGCUACCUUAGUUUUUAGCCAUAUGUUGUCAGUCACAGUUUUGCUUCUUGUCCUUUCAGUGUUGCUUUAUUGUCAGGCUCUAAGUUGUCUGAGUCCCUGAAAUGUGAAAUUUUGGUCUUGUUCGGUUCAAGUAUGAUGAAUUUAUCCAGCCCUGCUGCUGAGAUCCAGGAGUAUCACAUCUACCGUACAGAGAAAUUUAUUUAGAAACUGAUUGUGAAUUACACUGAGGAGUCUGCAUUAAACCAUGACAAUAAAUAAUGAGAGGAUGUUUGCCUGGAGGACUUC